GCAUUUGGUGAAUUCCCCCAGUGAGGUGGUUUGUGAAUAUGUCUCUGGCCAGAAUUCACUUUGAUGGAAUUACUUUGUAUAUGAGUUGCAAAUAAUCAAAUUGUCGUGUGCUAUAAGUAAACCUGUACCUACAGUUUCUUGAUGCAAUCCAUGUGACCUCAACAGUUCACUUUAAUGGAAUUACUUUGUAUGAGUUGCAAAUAAUCAAAUUGUGGUGUGCUGUAAAUAAAUCUGCACCUAUAUUUUCUUGAUGCAAUCCGUGUGACCGCAACAUUCCUUGUAAUCAAAUAUCUCUGUACUGUAAAUAAAUCUGUGCCAAC
rnacentral:lncRNA from 1 species